GGAGAGUUUGAUCAUGGCUCAGAAUGAACGCUAGCGGCAUGGAUGAGGCAUGCAAGUCGAACGAGAUUUCACUUCGGUGAAUGAAAGUGGCGAAAGGGUGAGUAAUACGUGAAUAAUCUACCUUUGGAUUGGGGAUAGCUCUACGAAAGUAGAAUUAAUACCGAAUAAUACGGCGUAGCAGCAGCUAUCGUCGUUAAAGAAGCAAUUCGUCUGAAGAUGAGUUCACGUCCCAUUAGCUUGUUGGUGAGGUAAGAGCUCACCAAGGCGACGAUGGGUAGCUGGUCUGAGAGGAUGGUCAGCCACAUUGGGACUGAGACACUGCCCAAACUCCUACGGGAGGCUGCAGUCGAGAAUCUUCCGCAAUGCGCGAAAGCGUGACGGAGCAAUGCCGCGUGAGGGAUGAAGGCUUUCGGGUCGUAAACCUCUGUCGCCCGGGACGAACAUUGACGGUACCGGGAGAGGAAGCCACGGCUAACUACGUGCCAGCAGCCGCGGUAAGACGUAGGUGGCAAGCGUUAUUCAGAUUUAUUGGGCGUAAAGGGUCCGUCGGGGGCAUGUUAAGUCUGAUGUGAAAUCCUGAGGCUCAACCUCAGAAUUGCAUUGGAAACUGGCAAGCUAGAGUAGAGUAGGGGAGUGUGGAAUUCUUGGUGUAGCGGUGGAAUGCGUGGAUAUAGGAAGGAACACCAGUGGCGAAGGCGACACUCUGGUCUGACACUGACGCUGAGGUACGAAAGCGUGGGGAGCAAACAGGAUUAGAUACCCUGG
rnacentral:rRNA from 1 species